UAAGCCUAGCAAUGGGCAAAGAGACACCUCAUUGGUGGUGUUGCUUUUAUAUCAGUUAGGGACAGAGCAGAUGGACAGUCCUUUGUUUAUCCUAGCUUGAUGCCUGGGUUGGUGGCCAGAGCUGCUUCAUGCCCAGGGCACAUGA
rnacentral:snoRNA from 1 species